UUAAAUGUUAGGAGGGACAUAGCAAACUCUUCCCUGGAGAGGGUGUUGGUUUACGGUAACAAAGGCAUAUUAGUAAAUCUGCAGAGUAUUAUGACUUCUAAUAUAAACAUGAAAAUAUUACAUCGCUGAUGGACUAAAGCAGUCAAAAGUAAAAUAACUAGGUUAAAAAAUUAAUAAAUGUAUUUUUUAUGGGUCCUUUUUCAAAGGUAGUUUCAGUAGGCAUAGUCAUUUUCUGUAUCUUUUCACCUCACAGUUCACAAACAUUUCCCAUGUCCUUAUAACACUUUUGUGUUAUAAAAUUGCUGCAUUAAUGUUAUAGCUGUAUUAAUGUAAUACGAGAGUUGUUGUGUUUGGGUUAUAUGUAAAUUUAUUUCUUAUAAAUAAAACUUUGACGGACUUAAAAAAAAAAGUGGCAAGCUGGGCACGGUGGCUCACACCUGUAAUCCCAGCACUUUUGGAGGCCAAGGCGGGUGGAUCACCUGAGGUCAGGAGUUCGAGACUAGCUUGGCCAACAUGGUGAAGCUCCAUCCCUACUAAAAAUAUAAAAAUUAGCUGGGCAUGGUGGCGGGCAUCUGUAAUCCCAGCUACUUGAGAGGCUGAGGCAGGGGAAUUGCUUGAGCCUGGGAGGCGGGGGUUGCAGUGAGCUGAAAUGGCGCCACUGCACUCCAGCCUGGGUCANNNNNNNNNNGGUGACAAGAGUGAGACUCCAUCUCAAAAAAAAAGGAGCAGUUAUGCCCUGGCAAAAGAACCUUUAUGGGAACUUUGGAAUCCAUGUCAAAAGGUGUAAACCCAAGACAGGAGGGCUGUAUUGAGAGGGCAUGCCCUUGCUUGAGUGGCAUGCUUGCCCAUCAUACUCCCAGCUACAAAAUAAAAUAUGAUUAAUUCUCAUUGUAAGUAUAGCUGUAGGCCAUUUGGCUUUGUUUAUGCCACUAGCACCAUCUGCCAAGACACCAAGGAGGAUUCAUAAUGUCCUGUGUCUCAGGUGAAAGGACUUUAGAUGUUGGUCCUCUCUGUGGUCUCCGAAUUAGCCCGCUGCACACAUCUAUCAUGAUGUGGAAGAAAUCCUGCACAUGCAGGAACUCACAGACAGAAACGUCCAUCUGUGCCCCUGGAUGUAGGCUCGCCAGUAUUUAUUUGAUGGUGGAUCUUGAUGUGGCACUAUAAUCAGGCUCCC
rnacentral:lncRNA from 1 species